CCUACGGGUGGCUGCAGUGGGGAAUAUUGCACAAUGGGCGCAAGCCUGAUGCAGCCAUGCCGCGUGUGUGAAGAAGGCCUCCGGGUUGUAAAGCACUUUCAGCGGGGAGGAAGGCGGUGAGGUUAAUAACCUCAUCGAUUGACGUUACCCGCAGAAGAAGCACCGGCUAACUCCGUGCCAGCAGCCGCGGUAAUACGGAGGGUGCAAGCGUUAAUCGGAAUUACUGGGCGUAAAGCGCACGCAGGCGGUCUGUCAAGUCGGAUGUGAAAUCCCCGGGCUCAACCUGGGAACUGCAUUCGAAACUGGCAGGCUAGAGUCUUGUAGAGGGGGGUAGAAUUCCAGGUGUAGCGGUGAAAUGCGUAGAGAUCUGGAGGAAUACCGGUGGCGAAGGCGGCCCCCUGGACAAAGACUGACGCUCAGGUGCGAAAGCGUGGGGAGCAAACAGGAUUAGAUACCCUAGUAGUC
rnacentral:rRNA from 1 species